GACGAACGCUGGCGGCGUGCCUAAUACAUGCAAGUUGAGCGCUGAAGGUUGGUACUUGUACCAACUGGAUGAGCAGCGAACGGGUGAGUAACGCGUGGGGAAUCUGCCUUUGAGCGGGGGACAACAUUUGGAAACGAAUGCUAAUACCGCAUAAAAACUUUAAACACAAGUUUUAAGUUUGAAAGAUGCAAUUGCAUCACUCAAAGAUGAUCCCGCGUUGUAUUAGCUAGUUGGUGAGGUAAAGGCUCACCAAGGCGAUGAUACAUAGCCGACCUGAGAGGGUGAACGGCCACAUUGGGACUGAGACACGGCCCAAACUCCUACGGGAGGCAGCAGUAGGGAAUCUUCGGCCAUGGACGAAAGUCUGACCGAACAACGCCGCGUGAGUGAAGAAGGUUUUCGGAUCGUAAAACUCUGUUGGUAGAGAAGAACGUUGGUGGGAGUGGAAAGCUCAUCAAGUGACGGUAACUAACCAGAAAGGGACGGCUAACUACGUG
rnacentral:rRNA from 1 species